rnacentral:ribozyme from 1 species
AUUCCCGGAACGAAAGAAAAAACAAAAGAAAAAACAAAAACUGGAA